GUGGGAGUCCUUGGUGCUCCCUGGGACAGAGCUCAGUUCAGAUGAUCAUGCUGUUUAAAAGACACUGAGAAUUUGGUGCAAGGAGGGGAUCACAAGUCCUGCCUGUUCUCCUGUGUCUCCUGCGAUCGCCCGUGUUGUGGACACAGGGUGUCACACGUCACUGAACACCUCUCAGCCUUAGGAAGCAUCUUAGUUGCCAGCCAGUUGUCUGUGGGCAUUGAUGAACUUAGACUGAGUUCUAAAUCAGCUGGCAAUAAACAUGUACCAAAAA